rnacentral:rRNA from 1 species
CACGUAGGGAGCAAGCGUUUGUCCGGAUUUAUUGGGCGUAAAGAGCGUGUAGGCGGCCAUGUAGGUCCGUUGUGAAAACUCGAGGCUCAACCUCGAGACGCCGAUGGAAACCAUGUGGCUAGAGUCCGGAAGAGGAGAGUGGAAUUCCUGGUGUAGAGGUGAAAUUCGUAGAUAUUGGGAAGAACACCGGUGGCGAAGGCGGCGACCUGGUCCUUGACUGACGCUGAGGCGCGAAAGCGUGGGGAGCAAACAGG